AGGACGAACGCUGGCGGCGCGCUUAACACAUGCAAGUCGAGCGAGAACCUUUCCUUCGGGAUUGGGGACAGCGGCGAACGGGUGAGUAACACGUGGGUAAUCUGCCCUUGACAUCGGGAUAGCCCGGGGAAACCCGGAUUAAUACCGAAUAGCCUCCGGAGCCCUCGGGCGCCGGAGAAAAGGUAGCUUCGGCCUCUGGUCAAGGAUGAGCCCGCGGCGGAUUAGCUUGUUGGCGGGGUAAUGGCCCACCAAGGCGACGAUCGGUAGCUGGUCUGAGAGGACGAUCAGCCACACUGGGACUGAGACACGGCCCAGACUCCUACGGGAGGCAGCAGUGGGGGAAUAUUGGACAAUGGGGGCAACCCUGAUCCAGCCAUGCCGCGUGAGUGAUGAAGGCCUUCGGGUUGUAAAGCUCUUUUGGCGGGGACGAUGAUGACGGUACCCGCAGAAUAAGCCCCGGCUAACUUCGUGCCAGCAGCCGCGGUAAU
rnacentral:rRNA from 1 species